CUACCGGGGUUUCUAAUCCUGUUCGCUCCCCACACUUUCGUACCUCAGCGUCAGACGCGAUCCAGUCAGUCGCCUUCGCCACCGGUGUUCCUCCUGAUCUCUACGGAUUUCACCCCUACACCAGGAAUUCCACUGACCCCUCUCGCUCUCAAGCGCGCCAGUUUUCGGUGACCCUCCGGGGUUGAGCCCCGGGCUUUCACACCGAACUUGACGCGCCGCCUGCGUACGCUUUACGCCCAAUGAUUCCGAGCAACGUUUGCGCCCUCCGUAUUACCGCGGCUGCUGGCAC
rnacentral:rRNA from 1 species